UAGUUUUUUAUUAUAAUAUUAAACGUACAAUAUAAAAUUGUUAAUUUUAUUUAAAAGUUUAAAAUUUA
rnacentral:tRNA from 1 species